UACAGAGGGUGCAAGCGUUGUUCGGAUUCAUUGGGCGUAAAGGGUGCGUAGGUGGCGGGGUAAGUCAGGUGUGAAAUCUCGAGGCUCAACCUCGAAACUGCACUUGAUACUGCCUUGCUCGAGUACUGGAGAGGAGAUUGGAAUUUACGGUGUAGCAGUGAAAUGCGUAGAUAUCGUAAGGAAGACCAGUGGCGAAGGCGAAUCUCUGGACAGUUACUGACACUGAGGCACGAAGGCCAGGGGAGCAAACGGG
rnacentral:rRNA from 1 species